rnacentral:sRNA from 1 species
GAGACGAAGAAGAAUCUCUCUCUCUCUCUCUCUCAAAACCCCA